CAGCAAACGCUCAGGAAAGAUAAGCACAUGAAGGAGGAAAGGGAAAACAGAGAGACAGAGUGGUGGCUACGGCUCUUGGCUGAGGGGCAGACGGAGGAUGUCAGUGCUGAAAAGUUCCAGAUGCCGUGUUUUUCUGAGUCCAGAGGGAGUUCUGGUGUUUAAAUGAUUUGAAAACAGCCGGGCUUUAGUUCAGGAGUGAGAAUGGACAGAGAGAGAAAUACAGCGAGGCAGAGAAAAAUCAUUGCUCAUGGCAGUUGUACAAUAUAUGGCCACAAGAGCAAACAGACAGGAAACAAAGUAAGACAUCGAAUGCAAGUACAGCACACGUGGACAGUUCAGAUCCAGGAGGGUCACAGCAUCACACGACUUAACGGUUUACCUCCACUGCUGUCUAACACCCCAUUAGCUGAUGAGUUGAAUCAGGUGUGUAGUGGCUGGGAAAUGACUGAACUGUACCGUGGACUGAAAUCCCAAUCAUUCUUCCAUCUCAUAGCUGAGGAACAAAUGGAUAAGUGGAUGAAGAACGCAUGUGAUGAAUGAGAUGAAAGCUCACUCUGUCUCCGUCUGUGUUGUUCGCAGCUGCAGAGGGGUAGAGCCGGUUGGCACGGUGCCUGGUCCAUGUCAUGCCAAUUAAGUUCAGCGGCUAAAAGUCUUCCAUCUGGGAUCGUCGCCGGCUCCUGACAGCAUUAACCCUUCCCCGAACACACACACACACACACACACACACACACACACACUGUGUAAACAUGUCUUUCCUUCCUCACGCUGACUCCAGCCCUGUAACACAUCCACUUCACACACCCCCACACACUAGCUCACUCUCACCCUCUCACGCUCUUCCUCCUUCUCUCGCACCCAAUUUACUUUUAUUUUGGUCACAUAUACUCCUUAUUCCUUGGGUGGAGGGUUACAGGAGAUGAGUCAAUGGCUAAAAAAGUUUCAGGUUUGACAUUC
ensembl:lncRNA